GCAAUGUUGCGCGUUUCCUGUUACUUUCAAGAUGGCUGCUGACAGUCUGCCAGCCUCGGCGAGCUAAGUCAGCUCAAUUUACUCAACUUAAAUACCAUGACAUUGUUCGUCAUAUAAUGCAUGGUGAAGUAGUCUUAGCUUCUUCACUGCAGUCCAAUGCACUGUGCAUGUGUGAUUUGUUGCAGCCAGCUGGUGAAAGGUGUUCCUCUUAUUACAGUUAUCCUCUUGUUUGUAGCUUUCGUCACAUGCAUAAACACUUCCAAACAAUUUCAAGAUUAACAGCCUCUUGAGGUCUGAGCCUUUCCGUUGCAGUCCAAUGUGUACAUGAAUUUUGUGCAGCCAGCUAGUGAACAGUGUGGUGAGCGGUUCAUGCAGACUGUGGUACUGGUGUCGUGCGUUCAUUUAACUAUGACCAUUCAGUCGUUCGUUUAUCGUAAGAAAUUCGUCACUUGUCGUAGGUGUGUAAAAUUGUGUCCACCAGGUGACAAAGAACUUGAUGUUGAAGACAAGUGACAUCUUAUUUUGUGCUUCUAAAUAAGUGCUUUUGUGGAAAGUACUUGUAAAGAGUUUUAAUUUUUUUUUGAUGAAACAAAACAGAAAUUCCCUUGAUUUUUAAAAAGAUUUCCAUGGUCAGUUUUAUGUUUGAGCUGUUAAUGGUGUUGCUGUAUGGGGUACAGUGGUUUUGCAGACCUUUUCCAGUUGAGAGAUGCGAUGAAAUGGAGCCUGUGCAGACUUGCAGUUGAAUAUCAUACUUUAUUAAUGUGUCAUUUUCCUAUGUUGGUGUCCAUGCAGUAUAUGCAGCGUUGUGUAAAAUAGUCGGUGUUGCCUGAUGGCUGUCGGGCUUAUUUUAUCGGCAGCAUUUUGUCGAAAUCUCGUCUCUUGCAACCUGUAUCGCCGUUGAGUUGAUUCGUUUGCCGCCGUUCCUUAGACUCAAUCCACCGGUGAAACUAAGAAGACGUUGCUGAAAUUCAAAAUUAAUCGAUAAAUUAUAUAGAUAAAUUACAAGUGCAUAUCUGGGCUCCCUUCUUCAGUGGCCCCGUUUCCCUAAAUAACCACUAACCAACGCCCGCCGGUGGUCACUCACUCGCUGCGACAACCAGAAAGAAGGGAGAUGUUUGGUCGCACGGGGACUUGCAAGGCGCAUGAUUCGAUGAAAUCUGUUGGAGGGUCAUGAGUCUAAGCCGGAAGUCUACUAUGAUGCAUUGCUCUCU